AAGGUGAUGCCUGCCCGGUGACAUGGCGUUUAACGGCCGCGGUAUCCUAACCGUGCAAAGGUAGCGCAAUCAAUUGUCCCAUAAAUCGGGACCAGUAUGAAUGGCUAAACGAGGUCUUAACUGUCUCUUACAGGCAAUCGGUGAAAUUGAUCUUCCUGUGCAAAAGCAGGGAUAUACACAUAAGACGAGAAGACCCUGUGGAACUUUAAAAUCAGCAACCACCCUGUCAUACACACACACCCAACACGGGCCCACUUACCCACAGGCCACUGGUUCGCAUUUUUUCGGUUGGGGCGACCUUGGAGCAAAACAAAACCUCCAAACAUUGGACCACACCUCCAAACUAAGAGCGACAUCUCAAAGUACUAAAAGUACCCAGAUCCAAUACAAUUGAUCAAUGGACCAAGCUACCCCAGGGAUAACAGCGCAAUCUCCUCCAAGAGUCCAUAUCGACGGGGAGGUUUACGACCUCGAUGUUGGAUCAGGACAUCCUAGUGGUGCAGCCGCUACUAAGGGUUCG
rnacentral:rRNA from 1 species